UUAUUUAUCUUUUUAAUGGCAACCACUAAUGGCAGUAAAGAAGGGAGAGUACCCAAUAUCACCUAACCAUACUUUAAUUACAGUUGGGUAGCCACUUCAGAGCGCGCGGGUGAAGAGUUUGGGUCCGAAAACCAAAGCCAAGACCCCAGGAAGCGAAGAAGGAGACAGGAGGUGUCUGAAGCAAGAAGGGCACUGGAGAAUCGGCAGCAGGGCCUAGGCCGCCUCCGAACCAGGAUCCAAGGCCUGCGCCAUCUGCCCUGUGCGGGAAGCGCGGGGCCUGGGAGGCAGGGAGCGCUCACACCUGCGGUCGGGCAGGAGGCGCAACGCGCUGCCAGGGCGGCUUUAUCCUGCCGCCACAGGGCGGGGACCAGCCCGGCAGCCGGGUGUCCAGCGCCGCUCACGUGCCUCGCCUGGAGCUUAGCUCUCAGACUCCGAAGAGGGCGACUGAGACUUGGGCCUGGGAGUUGGCUUCGGGGUACCCAAGGCGACGACAGCUGAGUUGUACCACGAAGCUCAGGCCGAGGCCUCCUCCCUUGUCUGGCCUUCGAAUCCAUACUGGCAGCCUCUCCUCU
rnacentral:lncRNA from 1 species